rnacentral:rRNA from 1 species
GAUAUCGGGGGGAACACCGGAGGAGAAGGCGGCCUCGUGGGGCGCACCUGACGCUGAGGCCCGAAGGCUGGGGGAGCAAAGGGGAUUAGAUACCCCCUGUAGUCCCAGCAGUAAACGAUGUGGGCUAGCGGUCUGGUCUUGAGGCUGGGUCGCGAAGGGAAACCGAUAAGCCCACCGCCUGGGGAGUACGCCCGCAAGGGUGAAACUCAAAGGAAUAGACGGGAGCCCGCACAAGCGGCGGAGCGCGUGGUUUAAUUCGAUGCUGACCGAAGAACCUCACCCGGGCUUGACAUCCCGCCGUCAAGCCUGCCCGAAAGGGUAGGUGAGCCUACCGAUGAGGUAGGCAGGCGGGACAGGAGCUGCACGGCUGUCGUCAGCUCGUGUCGUGAGAUGUUGGGUUAAGUCCCGCAACGAGCGCAACCCCUGCCCAUAGUUGCCAGCGGGUCGCCCACGUAGGUGGGCGAUGCUGGGGACUCUAUGGGGACUGCCGGCGAGGAGCCGGAGGAAGGAGGGGACGACGUCAAGUCCGUGUGGCCCUUAUGUCCGGGGCUACACACGCGCUACAAUGGGCGGUACAGAGGGAAGCGACCCUGAGAGGGGGAGCAAAUCCCUAAAACCGCCCCCAGUUCGGAUUGCAGGCUGAAACCCGCCUGCAUGAAGGAGGAGUCGCUAGUAAUCACCUAUCAGCUAUGGGGUGGUGAAUAUGUUCCCGGGCUCUGUACUCACCGCCCGUCACGCCAUGGGAGCCGGGGGUGCCUGAAGCCCCACCGA